GGGGCUGUAGCUCAGUGAUAGAGCAUCUGCUCAGUAUGCAGAGGGUUCCAGGUUCAAUCCCUGGCAUCCCCA